GUCGAGUGCGCAGUUCUGUAGCAAUACAGGAUGGGCGCACGGCGCACGGGUGCGUAACACGUGGGCAACCUGCCCUUGGAUGGGGAAUAACUCGCCGAAAGGCGAGCUAAUACCGCAUAACAUUCCGAGAACUUUGGUUUUUGGAAUCAAAGCUCGCGAGGGCGUCCAAGGUGGGGCCCGCGCCCGAUUAGCUUGUUGGCGAGGUAACGGCUCACCAAGGCUAUGAUCGGUAGCCGGUCUGAGAGGAUGGCCGGCCACACUGGAACUGAGACACGGUCCAGACUCCUACGGGAGGCAGCAGUGGGGAAUCUUGCGCAAUGGGCGAAAGCCUGACGCAGCGACGCCGCGUGGGGGAUGAAGCUUUUCGGAGUGUAAACCCCUUUCGAUCGGGACGAAACGCCCGCAAGGGUUUGACGGUACCGGUAGAAGAAGCCCCGGCUAACUACGUGCCAGCAGCCGCGGUAAGACGUAGGGGGCCAGCGUUGCUCGGAAUAACUGGGCGUAAAGGGUCUGUAGGCGGUGUGGCAAGUCGGGAGUGAAAUCUCUGGGCUUAACUCAGAGGCUGCUUCCGAAACUGCUGUGCUGGAGUGCGGGAGAGGCGAGUGGAAUUGCAGGUGUAGCGGUGAAAUGCGUAGAUAUCUGCAGGAACACCCGUGGCGAAGGCGGCUCGCUGGACCGCAACUGACGCUGAGAGACGAAAGCUAGGGGAGCAAACAGGAUUAGAUACCCUG
rnacentral:rRNA from 1 species